rnacentral:rRNA from 1 species
GAUGAACGCUGGCGGCGUGCCUAAUACAUGCAAGUCGAGCGAACAGACGAGGAGCUUGCUCCUCUGACGUUAGCGGCGGACGGGUGAGUAACACGUGGAUAACCUACCUAUAAGACUGGGAUAACUUCGGGAAACCGGAGCUAAUACCGGAUAAUAUAUUGAACCGCAUGGUUCAAUAGUGAAAGACGGUUUUGCUGUCACUUAUAGAUGGAUCCGCGCCGCAUUAGCUAGUUGGUAAGGUAACGGCUUACCAAGGCAACGAUGCGUAGCCGACCUGAGAGGGUGAUCGGCCACACUGGAACUGAGACACGGUCCAGACUCCUACGGGAGGCAGCAGUAGGGAAUCUUCCGCAAAGGGCGAAAGCUUGACGGAGCAACGCCGCGUGAGUGAUGAAGGUCUUCGGAUCGUAAAACUCUGUUAUUAGGGAAGAACAAAUGUGUAAGUAACUAUGCACGUCUUGACGGUACCUAAUCAGAAAGCCACGCCUAACUACGUG